rnacentral:rRNA from 1 species
GUCGAACGAAGCACUUAUCUUUGAUUCUUCGGAUGAAGAGGUUUGCGACUGUUUGGCGGACGGGUGAGUAACGCGUGGGUAACCUGCCUCAUACAGGGGGAUAACAGUUAGAAAUGACUGCUAAUACCGCAUAAGACCACGGAGCCGCAUGGCUCAGUGGGAAAAACUCCGGUGGUAUGAGAUGGACCCGCGUCUGAUUAGGUAGUUGGUGGGGUAACGGCCUACCAAGCCAACGAUCAGUAGCCGACCUGAGAGGGUGACCGGCCACAUUGGGACUGAGACACGGCCCAAACUCCUACGGGAGGCAGCAGUGGGGAAUAUUGCACAAUGGGGGAAACCCUGAUGCAGCGACGCCGCGUGAGCGAAGAAGUAUUUCGGUAUGUAAAGCUCUAUCAGCAGGGAAGAAAAUGACGGUACCUGACUAAGAAGCACCGGCUAAAUACGUGCCAGCAGCCGCGGUAAUACGUAUGGUGCAAGCGUUAUCCGGAUUUACUGGGUGUAAAGGGAGCGUAGACGGCUGUGUAAGUCUGAAGUGAAAGCCCGGGGCUCAACCCCGGGACUGCUUUGGAAACUAUGCAGCUAGAGUGUCGGAGAGGUAAGUGGAAUACCCAGUGUAGCGGUGAAAUGCGUAGAUAUUGGGAGGAACACCAGUGGCGAAGGCGGCUUACUGGACGAUGACUGACGUUGAGGCUCGAAAGCGUGGGGAGC